rnacentral:rRNA from 1 species
CCAGACUCCUACGGGAGGCAGCAGUGGGGAAUAUUGGGCAAUGGGCGCAAGCCUGACCCAGCAACGCCGCGUGAAGGAAGAAGGCUUUCGGGUUGUAAACUUCUUUUGACAGGGAAGAGUAGAAGACGGUACCUGUCGAAUAAGCCACGGCUAACUACGUGCCAGCAGCCGCGGUAAUACGUAGGUGGCAAGCGUUGUCCGGAUUUACUGGGUGUAAAGGGCGUGUAGCCGGGUUGACAAGUCAGAUGUGAAAUCCUGCGGCUUAACCGCAGAACUGCAUUUGAAACUGGCAAACUGGAGUGUGUGAGAGGAUAGUGGAAUUCCAGGUGUAGGAGUGAAAUCCGUAGAUAUCUGGAGGAACAUCAGUGGCGAAGGCGACUAUCUGGCACAUAACUGACGCUGAGGAGCGAAAGCGUGGGUAGCAAACAGGAUUAGAUACCCUGGUAGUA